UGAGAAAAGACUAUAAAAUAUUAUAGAUUGGCAGCCAUUUGCAUUUGGGAGCCAAACAAUUUGCAUACUGAUAGUAUGCUACUUUCUGAAAAGAAUGGGGGCCUCAGGAUUCAUCUGAGAAAAAGGAAAAAGUUAGAAAUCUCAUGGUUUGUGAAAUGAAGGUGUAGGAAUCAUUUUUAUAAAGUCCUAUUUUUUGAGUCAUAUAUCUGUUGAAAGAGAACUUGCUCUAUAAAAACCCUAUAAGCAAUGAAGUGUUUAUUUCGAAUGAGGCUAUGGGGAAUAAUCUCAUAAGAAAUACAUCUUGCAUUUGUAGAGAAACCCAAGGGGAUAAUAUCCAUGAAGCAUUAUCCCAGUGCAGGCAAAAAAUGACAACCAAUGCAAACUCAUCAAACAAUUGAAAAGGAAAUGUUUGAUUACUGAAUAAUUUUUUUCUCCCCUUCCUCCUGCUCUUUCCCAAAUGCAUAAAUCCAUCAUUCUGUGUUAUAGACAGAUGAAAAGUUCUUUCUCUCUCACCUCUUUCCUUCUCUGUUCCUAUAUAAUUGUUCUCUAGUUCCCACCCUGCGACCCAACCAAAAAAAGCAAAAGCAAAACUCACUACACACCCUGAAGCCUUCUUAAGUUAUGAGUCAGACCUUUUAUGUCAUGCAAUCUCUAUUAUAUGCUUUGUGAAUAAUAAUUCUUAUUAUAGAUUUAACUCAUAAAGUUUAACUAUGGUAUAGGGGCACAUGGAGAUCACUUGUAAGGUAUCAGGUGUUCAAGUGUUUGAAAGAUUAGCUGUCUUAUAAAUUAUAGUGGAUUCAAGGUUAUCCCUAUAAUAAUGUCAUGUUCACUGACUUGUGUUUGCUUUUCAGAGUGAGAGAGAAAGGGCUGGAAUUACAACGAGGUGAGAGCAUUGAGCUGAACUCCAAGCUUAUGCAGCAGCCUGGAGAGAAUCAUAUAUGUGACCUUUAUCCCUGGAAUGGGUUAAGUGGUUUUCUCUUGUUAUAAUGGAUCGCCAUCUAUAUUAUGACUUCUUGGUGGAAAUGGCAGCAUUCAGAAUUUGGUGACAUUGGCACUGAUUUAUCAGGUUUCUGUUACUCUCUUUGAAUUGUAUAUUCAUAUUUUCAGUUACUUUUACAUCUCCCCCAGUUUGUCAGACAGAAAGUGGGAUGUUUUUAUAUAUUUAAAAGCAGACUAGAUUAAAACUGCUGGAGAAUCAAAGAGAGAGAGGAUUGCAUAAUGAUUAGAAGGAGGGACAUUGGAGCUGAAUUCUAAACCUGGCCCUUUCACUUAU
rnacentral:lncRNA from 1 species